rnacentral:rRNA from 1 species
UACGGGAGGCAGCAGUAGGGAAUCUUCCACAAUGGGCGAAAGCCUGAUGGAGCAACGCCGCGUGAGUGAAAAAGGAUUUCGGUUCGUAAAACUCUGUUGUAAGGGAAAAACAAGUACAGUAGUAACUGGCUGUACCUUGACGGUACCUUAUUAAAAAGCCACGGCUAACUACGUGCCAGCAGCCGCGGUAAUACGUAGGUGGCAAGCGUUGUCCGGAAUUAUUGGGCGUAAAGCGCGCGCAGGUGGUUUCUUAAGUCUGAUGUGAAAGCCCACGGCUCAACCGUGGAGGGUCAUUGGAAACUGGGGAACUUGAGUGCAGAAGAGGAUAGUGGAAUUCCAAGUGUAGCGGUGAAAUGCGUAGAGAUUUGGAGGAACACCAGUGGCGAAGGCGACUAUCUGGUCUGUAACUGACACUGAGGCGCGAAAGCGUGGGGAGCAAACAGGAUUAGAUACCCUGGUAGUCCACGCCGUAAACGAUGAGUGCUAAGUGUUAGGGGGUUUCCGCCCCUUAGUGCUGCAGCUAACGCAUUAAGCACUCCGCCUGGGGAGUACGGUCGCAAGACUGAAACUCAAAGGAAUUGACGGGGGCCCGCACAAGCGGUGGAGCAUGUGGUUUAAUUUGAAGCAACGCGAAGAACCUUACCAGGUCUUGACAUCCCAUUGACCACUGUAGAGAUACAGUUUUCCCUUCGGGGACAACGGUGACAGGUGGUGCAUGGUUGUCGUCAGCUCGUGUCGUGAGAUGUUGGGUUAAGUCCCGCAACGAGCGCAACCCUUGAUCUUAGUUGCCAUCAUUUAGUUGGGCACUCUAAGGUGACUGCCGGUGACAAACCGGAGGAAGGUGGGGAGGACGUCAAAUCAUCAUGCCCCUUAUGACCUGGGCUACACACGUGCUACAAUGGACGAUACAAACGGUUGCCAACUCGCGAGAGGGAGGUAAUCCGAUAAAGUCGUUCUCAGUUCGGAUUGUAGGCUGCAACUCGCCUACAUGAAGCCGGAAUCGCUAGUAAUCGCGGAUCAGCAUGCCGCGGUGAAUACGUUCCCGGGCCUUGUACACACCGCCCGUCACACCACGAGAGUUUGUAACACCCGAAGUCGGUGAGGUAACCUUUUGGAGCCAGCCGCCGCAAGGUGGCAGAGAUGA